rnacentral:rRNA from 1 species
GUAUGCAAUAAUAUUAGUAAGUAUGCAUUAGAUUCCAUAAGAACUCUGAAGUUAAGCGUGCUUGGCGAGAAUGGUACUAAAAACGAGCAUUGUUGCAGGAU